GGGGGGGGGGGGGGGUUGAAACUAUUUUUUUAGCGAAUCAUGAAGAGUAGUUCCAUAACACAAAAUAAUUUAGAAAUCAGACUCUAUUGAUAAACUUCAGUGGACACUCAUGGGGAUUUGGUUAACCAGUUAAAAUUCUUGAGUAAACCAGAUUUUUUUUAAUAAAAAAAAACUUGAAAGGUUUUGUGGGUGGGGGUGUUGGCUACAGCCUUGUUAAGAGAUGUAUACUGUCGUUGACAUCUUUCAUCUUAACAUGUCUGAUUGAGUGUUCCAUUGGCUAUAAAUCCCCAUGCUUGCUGUAUUCUUCAUACACUGAAAAUUUUAUAUUUCCAAUAGGAACAAGCUGUUGGUAUAAUUUGUUAUUGUUACUCCCUUGUCCUUUCACUCUCCUUAUCUCCAAACCCAUAAUUACUUUCACAAGCACAUCCUUACCUUUGAGAGGACCUGGUACUUUCCCCUGACCCAACUCCCAUCAUAGAGCUUAAGCACAGUUUGUUUUUCUAGGCUACCAACAAUGAAUAAGCUAUAAAAUGCUUCAGGUUUGACCUAAGAAGUGGUUUUGGAACAUGUGUCAUUGGUGUUAGCCACAAAAAGCAUUUAUCCUUUCACAGAAUUAAUAACAUAGCCAAAGGUUAUAGAGCCACAAUUGCAGGGAAGAUUUGAAGACGCUCAACUAAUAUUUCUUGAAAAGCAGAAUUAGGAUCCCCACAUAUUAUUUACUUAUGUGUUUGGUUGUGUUUGGCCCUAGAAGGCUUUUCAUUAUUUUAAGGUGAAAACUCUUCUGUAUAUAGAUGCUCUCAUAGUUAAUAUAGUACCGCAAAAGCAAUCUCAUCAGAUAAUCUUCCCUAAGGUACAGUUUGGAGGCUGUUACUCUUUCUCUGGCUGCAGUCAGAAUAUAAAAAUAUAUCUAUUUAAUCACACCAUCAGAAAACCGAGUAAAAUGGAAUUUGCCUAAAUAAGAGAGACUCUGUUUUCUCUGCUCAGAGACCUGUGUACUAGGCUUGAGUCUGGAUUCGUUUUUAGCCAUUUCCUUUGGCCAAUCAGACAUUUUUUGUUUGUUUGGGUGCCCACAAUGGCAAGAGCCCAGCCGUUAUGGAUUCCUGUCCAAAAUGGGACCACACAGCAGCCGAUCUUGGCUCCUCCUCCCCUAUUCGGCCCCACAGUUUAAUCUUUUUUUUAAAAAAAAUUAUUUUCUUGAUUCUUUUAAUCUUUUAAUUUAGUGGAACUGACUGGGAGUUGGGGAUGCGUGAGGAUGGGUGAUUGGGUGCACGCGUGCAUUUGGGGGUUUGGGAGAGUCACACUUUUAGCUUUUUUUCUCCUUCCCUUCCUCUCCUUCAAAUACUUUUAAAAGAUAAUAAUAGUAAUAACAACAACAAUAAUAAAUCACAGCAAACAAACAGAAAACCCUCAUUCCCUGAAAACUAUUAUCAUCUAGUUACCUCUCCUCUAGAAAGUAAGAAACGGCUUUAAGGAAGCAUUAAACCCGGAGAUUGAAGUGUGCCCAUACCAGACAGGGCUUGCAGUAGAGAAAAAAAGAGGGUUUUUAAAAGGAAGCCCAGGGAGAUAGCUCCAGGUCGAUUGCUCUUUCUAUCCUGGGUAGUGUGACACCUCCUUAAAUGCUGCAUGCAGGGAGAGAGUGUGUGCGCCUGCAGCCUGUCUCCUUUAGAGUAGAAAGAAACAGCUUUAACAAAGCAUUAAACCUGGUCUCCACUACAGCAAGAAGGGAAAGGAUCUCAAAAAGAGUAACUAUGAUGGUUUUAUUCUAGGUCUUAAUGAAGAAUAUUAAGCACGCCCGGAUAGGGUGCUUUCUUAACCCUGUUAACCCUGUUGCUGACACCCAGGCUCUCUUGAAGGAAAAAAGGAAAGGCUCCCAGGAACUGAAAGGGGAGACUUGUAAGUUCCCCAUUGCUGCCAAUGGGCCGGAUCUAGCCACAGUUUUUGGCUACGGAUCAAAAAUAGCUAUCUGGCUACCUACUCAUUUUUGGGAGUUGUGCGAAAACAGAUAUGGGGGUCUACCGGUAUCCGGAUAGCAGAAGCGGAUAGAGGUUUAGCCAAAUUGCACAAGCCUACUGUGUACACUACACUGCUUUUUUGCUGCUUUGCAGCUAUCAUUUGGUAGUAACACAUUCUUUUUAGCUUUUUAAAAAAGUGUAUAAUGAAUUCCCAUUUUCAAAGUUACAUAAUAAGUGGGAAAUUAUAUUACAGGUAAGACAUAAUUUCUGCUGCCCCAUUUCAUAACAUUUCAGAUUUACUGCAUUUCUCCAGAAAUAAAUGAAUAGAAUCUAAGCCUCAAUACAUAACUCUCUCAACACACAUGCAGUUGAGUAAGGUGGGGAACCAAGGAAAGCGAAGUGAGAUAAUGAAGCUAUUUGGAGAUUUGAGUGGGAAGAAAAGCUGGACAGGUUUUCCUUUGCAUGUCUAAGUUGGGGGUAUACAAAGAAAGUAACUGCACUCCUAACGUUGAUGGAAGGAAGAGGUUUCCUUUGCCUGCUUCAAAAGGGGAACAUGGUUCAUCAAACAUGGACGAAGGUACCUUUGAGACAGUGAGUUACUUUCUGAAAGAAGACCCAUAAUAAAAACAUCAAGAGGCGCAUGGAGGAGGCCACCAGAGAAGCAUCAGAACUUACCAUACCAAUCACUAUACUGAAAUGUUCACAGAUGUGCCACUUGGAUGUAAUAAUUCACAGCUCUGACAACUGUGGCUCUAUGAUGGAGUUUUCUGGCACCGAGAGUGUGUGACUUGCCCAAGGUCCCCCACUGAGUUUCGAUGGUUGAAUGGGGAGUCAAAUUCUGAUCUCUGGAGUCAAAGUCCAACGCUAAUAUCAGCUACAUAACACUGGAUCCAGCAAAGUCUAUGAGGAAAAUGCCUUGCCAAAUCUCUGGAGGUAUCACCAACUGAUGCUCUGAGGCCAGAGCAAAGAAGGGGCAGCCAGGAAGACCGUUCCACCUCGUCUCCUGUGCCAUCAGUUGGAGGCCAGUAAUAUGCUAUGCUGAUAGUAUUAUAUAUAUUAUAUACAUAUAUAUAUAUUGUAUAUUAUAUACAAUAUAAUAUACAAUAAUAUAUAAUAAUGUCAUAUAUUGUAUGUGUAUAUGAUGUUGAUGAUAUUGUUGUAAUGUGAUACAGUGUGCUAAUACAAUUAAGUAGUUUUAAUUAUAUAUUAUAUAUUACAUGUAAUGUUACUAGCAGUGUUGCGAUGUGGUGGUGUAGUACAGUAUAGUGAUGUGUAGUGCUGGUGUUGUGCUAUGCUGGUAAUAUAACUUAUUGUAUGUACAUAUUAUUUGUAAGCCACUCUGAGUCCCUUUCGGGGUGAGAAGGGUGGGAUAUAAAUGUAGUAAAUAAAUAAAUAAAUAACUCAUUAAAUGUUAAACUCCCCUAUGAAAA